rnacentral:rRNA from 1 species
UGGGGGAUAUUGCACAAUGGGCGAAAGCCUGAUGCAGCGACGCCGCGUGGGGGAUGAAGGCUUUCGGGUUGUAAACCUCUUUCGCUAUCGAACAAGGCCCGCUUAGGGUGGGUUGAGGGUAGGUGGAGAAGAAGCGCCGGCUAACUACGUGCCAGCAGCCGCGGUAAUACGUAGGGCGCGAGCGUUGUCCGGAAUUAUUGGGCGUAAAGGGCUUGUAGGCGGCUUGUUGCGCCUGCUGUGAAAACGCGGGGCUUAACUUCGCGCGUGCAGUGGGUACGGGCAGGCUUGAGUGUGGUGGGGGGGACUGGAAUUCCAGGUGUAGCGGUGGAAUGCGCAGAUAUCUGGAGGAACACCGAUGGCGAAGGCAGGUCACUGGGCCAUUACUGACGCUGAGGAGCGAAAGCAUGGGUAGCGAACAGG